UUUUAAGUGUGUCGGAAUCUUUACACGUGGAAGGCGGAACUACACUAUCCUGCUUGCUUUAAAGCCUUAAAAUGCAUUUUUCGGUCAGACAACUCCUCUUCUAACAUGUCCUAGACGGGUAGAAGAUCUGACAGCGUUUGGUGUCUUAAAUGUCGAUCUUUGGUGUGUAACGGUCCUCGCAUGCAAGUUGGCGUCAGCGAUGGCAAGUCAAAAGAUUCAAACCAUGCAUGAGAAGACAGAAGUUUAGUCUUCUUUGAACUCUUAAUGGAAAGAUCUCACGAUCAUAUGAAGCAAGAAGAUUCAAGAAAAGAUGAUACUUUAGGAAUCAAGAAGUCUGUUGACUGAAAUCAAGCUUAUCAAAAAUUAUGUUACAACUGAAUAGGAAAUAAAGACGCGCCAAGGCGAA